UGACUAACGUGGCAGGGACGUCGCGGGAUCAUGAAGGCAGUUUUCCCAGGGCGAGGCUUACUCACUGCACUCCUGCUCUGCUGCCCCCUGUGAUUUCCCCAAAUGUGGGAAAUUGGACAGGACAGUUUGUGGUAGUCGGGGAUUAUACUUGCCCUCUACCCUGA
rnacentral:snRNA from 1 species